CAUCGCCCUGAGCUUCGCAGAAUACACCUCCACACCGUUCUACCCAGGAUGCACUCCUCCCAUUGUGGUCACCAAGUGCCUGGCUGUAGUGUGCAUCUUUCUGAUCGUGUCGGUGAACUGUCUCAGUGUGAAGCUAGCCAACUAUGUCCAGAACUUCUUCACUGCAGCCAAGCUUCUCAUCAUCCUGGUCAUCAUAGUGGCGGGCAUCGUCCUCUUGGCACAAGGAAACACUGAGAAUCUGUCCAACCCAUUUGAAGGAGCCUCAACCUCCUUUGGAUCCAUUGGACUGGCGUUUUACAACGGGCUCUGGGCCUACAAUGGGU